rnacentral:rRNA from 1 species
CAGUAGCCGCGGUAAUACGUAGGGUGCGAGCGUUGUCCGGAAUUAUUGGGCGUAAAGAGCUCGUAGGCGGCUUGUCGCGUCGAAUGUGAAAGCCCGGGGCUUAACUCCGGGUCUGCAUUCGAUACGGGCAGGCUAGAGUGUGGUAGGGGAGAUCGGAACUCCUGGUGUAGCGGUGAAAUGCGCAGAUAUCAGGAGGAACACCGGUGGCGAAGGCGGAUCUCUGGGCCAUUACUGACGCUGAGGAGCGAAAGCGUGGGGAGCGAACAGGAUUAGAUACCCCAGUAGUCCCUGUCUCUUAUAC